UCUCCGUUGGUGAACCAGCGGAGGGAUCAUUACUGGAAUCGCAAGAUCCCACGACCCCUGUGAACCUACCGAAACGUUGCCUCGGCGGGCGCCCGGCCCCGCGCCGGGCGCUGAGCCCGCCGGCGGCCCCCUACUCUUGUCUCUGCAGCGUGGCAUCCCAGAGUCCCAGAAAACAAGUAAAAACUUUCAACAACGGAUCUCUUGGCUCUA
rnacentral:misc_RNA from 1 species